AGUGAACGCUGGCGGUAGACCUAACACAUGCAAGUCGAACGGCAGCACAGUAAGAGCUUGCUCUUACGGGUGGCGAGUGGCGGACGGGUGAGGAAUACAUCGGAAUCUACUUUUUCGUGGGGGAUAACGUAGGGAAACUUACGCUAAUACCGCAUAAGACCUACGGGUGAAAGCAGGGGAUCUUCGGACCUUGCGCGAUUGAAUGAGCCGAUGUCGGAUUAGCUAGUUGGCGGGGUAAAGGCCCACCAAGGCGACGAUCCGUAGCUGGUCUGAGAGGAUGAUCAGCCACACUGGAACUGAGACACGGUCCAGACUCCUACGGGAGGCAGCAGUGGGGAAUAUUGGACAAUGGGCGCAAGCCUGAUCCAGCCAUACCGCGUGGGUGAAGAAGGCCUUCGGGUUGUAAAGCCCUUUUGUUGGGAAAGAAAAGCAGCAGGUUAAUACCCCGCUGUUCUGACGGUACCCAAAGAAUAAGCACCGGCUAACUUCGUG
rnacentral:rRNA from 1 species